GUGGCCAGCCGCCGCGGUAAUCCCGGCAGUUCGAGUGAUGGCCGCUUUUAUUGGGCCUAAAGCGUCCGUAGCUGGCCGCGCAAGUCCAUCGGGAAAUCCACCCGCCCAACGGGUGGCCGUCCGGUGGAAACUGUACGGCUUGGGACCGGAAGGCGCGACGGGUACGUCCAGGGUAGGAGUGAAAUCCCGUAAUCCUGGACGGACCGCCGAUGGCGAAAGCACGUCGCGAGAACGGAUCCGACAGUGAGGGACGAAAGCUAGGGUCUCGAACCGGAUUAGAAACCCUAGUAGUCC
rnacentral:rRNA from 1 species